CCAUUCUCAGAUCAGGCCUAGUAGCAGAGCUGUGGCCGCCCGGUUCCCCUGGCUGUCUGCGGGGGUUGGCGGGCUGCCAUACUCACCUUCUGGGUCUCCCUUGCACUAGUGCUGGCCCGGCCAGGUGUGCUCGAGACAACAGGGAAGGAACUGGCUUUUUUGAAUGCCGCCAUAUGUCGAGCUCACUCAGCAGGUCUGCUUGGUAGGCUUGCAACACUGUCAUUGUCUGCAGUGACCCACAAGCAAGACUACUACUGCAUAGGCUUGCCCACCAAUGCCACGGUGGUCUUACACGGUGGUUUGGAUGGCAAAGCCGGCCCCCCUAAUUACCUGCCGUCAAUAGAGAGAGGUGGCUCGCAAGCGCCUCCUCCACCUUCAGCAUAGCUAAAUAGCCAUGCCGUUUAUUCCCCACAAUGGCCGAAUAAUCCAAUAUCGUGGGGUUAUAAAUAAGACAUGCAUGGUUUUCCCCCAGAAGCCUGAUAUUUUGUCAUGCACUUCUGGAAGAAAGGGGAGUUUCUGGAGUGUGAGGGAUUUGCUGGAGUGUGAGGGAUUUUGUGAGGGAUUUGAUUUACUUUCACUGGGGAGAAAAAGGCUCAUCCAGCCUUAGUAAUCACUUCAAGCAGCUCUUUAUAUGCUGUUCUCAGUUUUUAGCACAUCCUUCUGGCUCCUCGGAGUCAGAGAGGAAUUAUUACUAUUUUUUGGUGUGUGUGUGUGUGUGUGUGUGUGUGUUUUUUUCCACUUUUUUUCUUCUUCCCCUUUUGGCUUUCCAUAGCGGAAGGAGGAGUCGCGACGCGACCUCCAAAAUCCAGCUGUGAGCCGAACCCGGAAGACAAAGCAAGAGACAGAGCAGCGUUCCUUUCCGGCUCCAUAAGCGAUCCCGCGAACCUGAGCCGGCCCAGAUCCGCGAGGCUCUGAAACCCAACUCGCUUCGGCUUCCGAGAAGAGCGCGAGUCGCGAGCCGAGCUGUUUAAUGUAGCCAUUACCAUGCGCAGCCUCUCGAGGCUGCCAUCGCAUACUACACUCCUAAACACUUCACCCAGAAAUUGUGCGCUUUUCCCAGUGAUGAAACGGGAGCAAGGCGUAACAUACUUCCUCGUUACUUACGUCUCUUUUCUCUUAUGGCAGGACUAUAAGUAGAGGCAUGAUUUUACACAAGCUUCAGAUACCGUCACGCGCAAGGCGCUUCCCAUACUGUUCUGGUAAAUGCGACGUCGAAGAAGGGAACAAGAGGCUUAUCCAUCUCUAAUAUCAUUAGCUAAUUGAAGUCUAUUAAAUGCACAAAGCUAAAUGUAAGUACUACUGUAAUUGACACGGUGACUGGAAUUAUCCUGCAUUAGCAAAGCUGCAGCUAGACAGCUAGCAUGCUACCAUCUGUGCAUUUAUUGCCUAAAUCUGCCUCAUAAAUGUUCAUACUGCAUAGUCACUGCCAGCUAAAAAAAAAAAAAAAAAAAAGAGGAAGAAAUGGAAUUGGAAUUAAUUGCUUGGCCAUUUGUAAAAUCGUCCCCUCUGGAAGUAUUUGAAUGGCAAGGCCAAUUCUUUUUUUAUUAUUAUUAUUUUUUUUUAUUUGGGCUUGAUACCAAAAGAUGACUAGGAGAUGAUGGAUCAUAAUUUCAGCUUUCAUUUUCUGGUAUUUAAAUCUAGAUGUGUUAAAAAACUUAAGACAUAGCACCUUUUGUUUGAACCCACCCACUAGUGAUAAAAAGUGUUGGAACGUGACUGACCAGUGUUACUUGUUGCCCAGGUUUGCCCUAUUAGAUUGAUUGUUUAAACAAUUCAUAGCUCUGAAUGUCUACUGCAUUUGUUGUUAAAAAAGGAUAAUCCAACAUAAAGACCAUAGAGCCGUCUAUGGGAGAAAAGCAAGCCAUUUUGAAUCUGAGAAAAGAUGGAAAAUCGAUCACAGCAAUUGCACAAGCAUUGGGCAUAGCAAAUACAACAAUUUGGAAUGUCCUGAACACAAAAAAAAAACCCAGUGGUGUACUAACAACCAGACAUCAGACAGGUUGACCAAGGAAAACAACAGCAGUUGACAGAAACCUGCUGAAGUUGUGAGGAAAAACCCAAACACAACAAUCAGUGACAUCACCAACAACCUUCACAGGACUGGGCUAUAGGUAUCACAAUCUUUUUUCAAAGUUUGUUUGUUUGUUUGCUUGUGUUUUAAUGCCAUGCCAGCUUCUAUGGCUAUUUUCAUGGCGAGAAAUGUCAUAUCCCAGCAAACCAGUGACUACAUUUCCCAUCCUGCACUGUGGCCUACAAACAUGGACCGCAAUUCCCAGAACACUCAGUUUCAUUCUAAUCACGCACACCUUCAUCCAAUCUCACACCACGCAUAAGAGACUGUUUGAACACUAAGUCUCUGCAAAGUAUUACGUGUGUUUUCCUUAUACCAAGCCGUUGUUCAUUGUGUUUUGUGUCCUAGUUUUGAUUUUGUUUUUGCCCUCGUUUUUGAUUCUUAUUUUGCCUCGUUUAUUCCUGUUUGCUGAUCGCCUGAACUAUUGCCUGUUUGUGACCACAUCUAUGUUUCACAUUUGGAUUUGUCUGCCUGUCUCUCAUAUAAUAAAGAUCUUAUCUACAUUUGUAUCCCUCCUCAACUCCAUUACGUGACAGAAUACUUUGCCUCACCAUGGAUGCAGCAGGAAGAAGGAGGAACACCCUCCUUCUUACCGUUCCUGUAAUAAGGAACACCCUCCCAAGGCUCAACUCCAUCAAGCUUCCUCAAUUUGUUGCCAUGUAUCCCCCAGAGCCAUAUGAUGGAUUUUCGGCUACCCUGAGUAUUUUUUGUUCGAAUGCCAAUUAUAUAUUUUAAGCCUGUAAGGGUCUGGCCCGUACAGAAUCCAAGGGUCUUCACAAUGUAACUCAGUUUGUGGGACUAUUGGUAAAGGAGUUUGGGAGUUCAGAGUACACCCCCAACCUGGAUGAGUUUUUUGGGGAGAGCCAGUCUCAUGAAUGAACCUGCGAGGCCAUUCAACACCUACCACAAGACGACCUCCUCCCCGGAGCUCCAGCUCGAGACCCACGAGGUGGUCUCACCUGCUGAGCUCCAGCUGGAGGUCAACGUAGCGACCUCCUCCCCAGAGCUCCAACCUGAGACCCACGAGGUGGUCUCACCUGCUGAGCUCCAGCCAGAGGUCAACGUGGUGACCUCCUCCCCAGAGCCCAGGUUGGAGGUCAACAGGGCGAACUCCUCCUCAAAGCUCCAGCACGAGACCCAUGAGGUUGUCUCCUCUCCAGAGCUCCAGCAUGAAGUGAAGUUCCUGAACGAGGUCGACGAGACGGCCUCCCAAGCCACGUGCCUGUCCCAGGUCAACGAGACGGCGUCCCAAGCCACGUGCCUGUCCCAGGUCGACGAGACGGCCUCCCAAGCCACGUACCUGUCUCAGGUCGACGAGACGGCCUCCCAAGCCACGUGCCUGUCCCAGGUCGACGAGACGGCCUCCCAAGCCACGUGCCUGUCCCAGGUCGACGAGACGGCCUCCCAAGCCACGUGCCUGUCUCAGGUCGACGAGAUGGCCUGCCAAGCCCUGUUCCUGUCUCAGGUCGACGAGACGGCCUGCCAAGCCCCGUUCCUGUCCCAGGUCGACAAGACGGCCUCCCAAGCCACAUUCCUGCACGUUGCAUGGCUGCUUCUGGCUCACAAGUCUAAAGAAAUCUACAGAAACAUUCUAUAUACCAAUUCACAGAGAAGGACAUACAGUCUAACUGAGAGGAACUUCAUAAUGCAGCAAGACAAUAACCCAAAACACACUGCCAAAACAUCAAAGGAUUUUAUGAGGGGGGAAAUGUGAAAGAUUUUAGACUGGCCAAGUCAAUUUUCAAACUUUAACCCAAUUGAGCAGCAUUUCAUUUCUGAAGAGGAGACUGAAGGGAGAAACCCCCCAAAACAAACAACAGCUGAAAGAAGCUGUGGUACAAGCCUGGAAAAAAAAAAAGAAAAAAGGAUGCAACAAUUGAUGUUAGUGGGUCGCCAGCUUGACGCAGUUAUUGCAAGCAAGGGAUAUGCAAUACUUUUGGAGGGGACUGUAUAUGGAGUGUGUAGAUCCGGGAAGGUAUGGUACUUUACUUUAAAACUUUACGCUUGAUUAUAUAAUCAUAGAUAAUCAAGAUAAGUUGCUUUAGACAUAGCUACAAAGAUGAACAUAAAAAGAUAAACAAAUUGUUAAUCUCUACAAAAUGCAUCAAAUUUCUGUAAAUGCACAUUAAUGUUUAUUAGCAGCCAGAGCAUAUUCAGAUAUCUAGAACUACUUUGUGAUCCUUCCUGUCACAAGGCAUACAAAUCCCUGGAAUUCUCAUUACUUUGUCUGCUUUUGUGAUCUAAGUUUUUGUCAUUGCUAAACUGGGGAAAUAUUAAAUGGAUAUAUAAACUGAGGUAAUAUUGCUUGUUACAAAGAACGUAUAGUGUAAAUUGCCAUUAGCUGGAAACAGACCAAUAUGAUCAAAAUUUGACUUUUUCUGACAGUAGUAUAUUUUGAAUCUCUAUUGAAAAAAUAUAAAAACUUUCUCAAAAUGACAGUUUAAUUUGUUAUUUUCCAACAAAUGUCUAAAUACAGAUGUUAGCUAAAGAGCCAGUUUAACAAGUACAAUGGUAAAUGCAUUCAGUGUGAGUAAGAUGUCUUAAGUUCUCAUGAUUUGAUCAUGUUUUUAGUCACAUGUCACAGUAAAACUCAUAAUCCUAAUCAGAUAUGUUUGUGAACAAAUUGUGGCUGUCAAAAUGUCUGCAAUGCUCCUGUGGCAUCACGUCAUCAUGAAAUAAGAGAAGAGCACUGUACAGAUAACAGCAUAAGUUUGAAAAAUCUUUAAUUAACAAUACAAUGACGUUAAUAACAAGAAAUUUAGUCAGCAGAACAGAACUGACUGAAUUAAUUAGAGAUAAUUUCCCCAAUUGUUUUAGCAUGAACAGUGAUCAGUUGAGUGAAGAGAUGAUGAUGAUUCUGAGGCUUAUAUUUAAAUACUGUGAGUGACUUUGAUAAGACAGAGACCGAUGUAGAUGAUGCUGAUAAUCAUUGUGAUAACUUUGUGAUCAUUUCCCAUUGUAAACUUUUAAUUCUUUAAAAUUUGGCAGUAAUUUUAUUUUCCCAUAAGUAGGUUAGGUUGAAAAUGUUGAAGUAGGUGAGCGUGUCUUUCAGUGGAAUUGGAAUGAAAUCUUUAAGUGUGAUUUUUCGGAGUAACCAGAUUUUAAAAUGCUACAUGCAAAAAAGAAUCAUUUUGCUUACAUAGUUCUCAGAACUACCUAUAUUGCAGAUAAUGCCAACAUUUGACCAUGUGUGAAGGGUUUCCCAGACAUCCACAUAAAUGGGGAUGGUGUUAAUUGGCACAUCCAAAUGCAGAAUUGUACUUAACCAUUCACUUUAAACUUACAUUCAAUUUAAAACAUUUUUUUGUGUCACACCUUGUCUGGCAACAGUAUGCUAUGGAAGGUACAACGUUCAUUAAAUUAUAUGGAAAAAAGUCAGAUGACAGUUGUAACGAGAUAUAACUGAACAUUCUAUUUUAACCUCAAACAUAAGUUUUUUAAUGAGAUUCUUGGGUCAUUGAAUGUUGUGGAACCUGACCUUUGUAAAGCAGUAAAUUUCCUAGAUUUGUUCUGCUUGUAGUUUUUGUAUUGAGACAAUGGAGCCUGUUUGACUGCUUAUGGGUAUACAUUAAAAAGGGCCGAGGGCUAAGGGCACUGGCUGCUUACAUGCUAAGAUCUCUUAAAACUUUUAAUAGCCUUUAUAUUCAGGCUUUGAAGUGUCUUGAACUUAGUGCUUUUAUUUUGGGUACCUUGUUGACAAGCCUCCACCCCCUUCCUCACCUCUAUAGGUUGUAUUAUUCUGGUGCAGUCUGUGCACCACCUUCAGAUCAGUGCAAGUGCACUCAUCUGCCUUUGUUCCCUGUGGCCUUUGACCUUUCUGACAGAUCUGCGGGCAAAGCAAAGCCCUCCAUUUUUUAAUUCCCCUUUUCUGCAGUCAAACAGAGGGAACAGACUGCAGUGGUGUCCAGCUAACCCCUUCAAUUCCUAUCAGUUUUUGUCACUUCUCAUCUACAUACCCCUUUCUACUGGUAUCAUAUAAUAUGCUUUACUAAUAAACCAGGUUUUUAAGGGGUUAAACUUGGGUUUACAUUACAGAAUUAAGUAAUAGUAGUAAAAUAUUCAAUGAUGUGUCUAUAUAUAGCAAAGUUCAGAAGUUGUUCUAUUCUAUAUUUUGAGAGAUGCUAUAGGCUCUUCACAUUUAGAAAUGUUCAGUCAGUUCCAUUGUUUCACUUCUCAUGAACUUCUGCCAUGCAAGAAAUUCAAGCACUUACUUUUCAAGUGUUCCACCACAUAAAGAGAACCAGGUUGAUUAACAAGAGCUGAUUAAUGUGUGUACAUCAACAGUGGUUUCAGUUUUAUUUUAAUGAGCAGCUGUGAACUGACAAACUGAGGUCAGGAAGAGGGGUAGAGAGAGAGGAAGUGAUGAAAGUGGCUGGCUCAAAGAACACAUGCUUCUAGAAAAUUAUGCCUUCACUGUACAACUUGUUUUGAUCUGACAGUAAAAAGAGCCUUACGCCCACAAUAUACAGAAUACACAAUAUGCAGUCAGAAGUGUGUAGAAGAAAAACCAAAAUCAACCAAUUACAGAAAUAUCCAAAUAAUAGAUAAAAAGUAAAAUAAGUUAUUGGAUAGCAUUACUGCUGAAAAAAUGAGUGGUUUUAGCAUGUACUGUUUCAUAUCCAUGGUGUAUGUGAAUGUAUGUCAUAUACUUAUGUCAUAUACAUAUACUUAUAUAACUAUUAAUUAGUAACAUUUAGUGUGUUUAAUUAAUAAAACCUGGCUGCUAAUUACUCUGUUAAUGACUGCAGCAGUAAGAAUUGGAAAGCUAGUUUGGAAUUUGCAAAGAAAUACCGAGAUGAGCCACAAAAGUUCUGGAAUCAAGAUUAACCCCCAAAGGGCACGGUGUGGAGAAAGAAAGUCUCUGCUCAUGAUCCAAAACAUAUGAGCUCAUUGGUCAUGGUGGAGGUAGUGUCAUGGCUUGGGCUUGCAUGGCUGCUUCUGGAACAGACUCAUUAAUCUUUAUUUAUGAUGUAACUCAUGAUGGUAGCAGCAGAAUGAAUUCAGAAGUCUACAGAAACAUUUUGUCUCCCAGUCUACAGAGAAAAGCAUCCAGUUUAAUUGGGAGGAAUUUCAGCAUGCAGUGACCCAAAACAUACUGCCAACAUAACAAAGGGAAAAAGUGGAAGGUUUUAGACUGGCCAAAUCAAUCACCAGACCUUAACCCAAUUAAGCAUGCAUUUCACUUCCUGAAGAGGAGACUGAUGGGAGAAACAAAGAAACAACUGAAAGAAGCUGCAGUACAAGCCCAGGAAAAGCAUCACAAAAAAAGAAUGCCACAGUUUGGUGAUGUCAGUGGGUUGCUGGCUUGAUGCAGUUUUUACAAACAGGAAAUGUGCAACCAAAUAUAAAGUGUUAUUUACUUUAAUUUCCUUUAAGACUAUCUGCUUUUGCUAUAGAUGUUUAUUUUAUGGCAUGUUCAUUAUUGAGUCAGUACAAAAAAAUUUCCAAAUGUUAUUUUUCCAACAAAAUUAAAUGUUACAGAAUAACAUUUGCAUGUCAGUAAAAAAAAGCUAAUUUUAUAACAUUUUUCAGACAAAAAAAACCAUAAUGAAGCAGUUUUAUAUUAAAAAAAAGGAAGUGCGACGGCGAAGGUGUACAAAGUUUCCAGUAAAACAGAACACUUCAGUCAAAUCUCCUUUGUCAGCUGUGCAAGUAGAGUGCUUCUGAGGCUAUGGUAAAACCAGACUCUGUUUUAAGAGUCUGUAUAAAGCCAAAUUUACCUGUCUUGUUAUUAAUUGAUUAUAAAACAUCUAACACAUUUAAAGCUUUUUUCUAGAUAUUUAACUAAUCUUAAGCUUGAAAUUGUCUAAUUUGUCACCUUAGUAAUAUUGUUUGACUUAAAUCAAGAUUAAAAAAAAAACCUCUCUAGGACACCAUGAAUUGAUUAAUCUGUUGAAUGACUAAUCAGCCUAUGAUUUUUAUCCAUUCAUAGUUCAGACUGAAUGUUGCACUUAGCUGUACUGCUGAGUCCUAUUAAGCCUGCGAAGCUUGUUUGCGGGAAGGGGGGGCAUGUAGGGAGGGACAGAGGCAGAGAGGAGGUGGGACCCAGAGGCUGGAAAGAAGGAAGUCCUAUGUGUAUAAAAGUGUCUUUUACUUCAGAACAUGCUUGCUGAGGCUUGCUUGCCUCCCC
ensembl:lncRNA